CUAGCUGUAAACGAUGGAUACUAGGCGUUGAGAGUAUCGACCCUCUCAGUGUCGUAGCUAACGCGUUAAGUAUCCCGCCUGGGGAGUACGCGCGCAAGCGUGAAACUCAAAGGAAUUGACGGGGGCCCGCACAAGCGGUGGAGUAUGUGGUUUAAUUCGAUGCAACGCGAAGAACCUUACCAGGGCUUGACAUGUCCGGAACCCUGCCCAAAGGCGGGGGUGCCUACGGGAACCGGAACACAGGUGGUGU
rnacentral:rRNA from 1 species